rnacentral:antisense_RNA from 18 species
GAUAACCGAAGAUCACACCCGGAUCAAGGGUGGGGUUGGUGAUCAGGCGCACGUCGCCACCGCCAGGUGCCCAGGUGUCGUAGACACCGCCGAAGAACAUCGCCUUGAACACCAGCAGCAGGCAACCCACACCCAGAAGGAUGAGGUGAUAGCCGAUGAUGUUGGUCAUCUGGUUCUUGUCGCGCCA